GCAGCCUUCUGGGGUGAUGUGGUGUUACUUUGCAUAGGUUGAAGCUUUCUGGUAUUGUGUGGUGUUACUCUGUGUAUCAUGGCUGUCUCAACUGUGAUAUAUGCUGCAACACAUUCAAACAGAAAAGCUGAACAAAGAAAGAUGUGGUUUAUCCUGGAAGAAAGAAAUUACAAAUGUCAGGAUAACGCUGAGACAACAUCAGCUCAUCAACAAAUAUCUGGAAGCAGCAGCUCACGGGUAUGCUCAGCUGCAGGGAGUUUGUUCAGUGUAAAGUAAUGAAGGAGUCUGCUGAUUUCUGGAGAUAGAAGUUACUCUUCAGGAUGAUAAUUUUCCCAGACUUCAAUGCAGGCUUCUUGUUAGAAUUUUACUGGAUGUGGACAACACUAUUUGUUCAGCAUGUUUAUGAGCUUUCUAAACAGUUUGUGACUGUGAUCUGUAAGGCACAUCCAGACUCCAGGAAUGAACCACACAAAGCUCUCCUUAAAAAUGGGGCCAGGGUCAACUUUCCAUUUCCCUUUAAACCCAUGUCAAGCUUAUUUUUGCCUAGGUUCAAGGAGAGAAAACUCCCUCAACAUUUCCAGAGAGUUGGGACAGUUCUGAGCUUUUUCCUGAAAAAAGGAAGUUUCCCUAGGACACUAGUGCUUUAGAUAUGGGGUCACUGCUAAACAACAAAGUAGCACAAAAUAAAGUUUAAAAAUUCACAUUUUUGGAGGAGAAUUGUCAGCAAGAGCUCACCUGCUGCAGUGCACAAACCAAAAAACUUGUCCAUGAAAACACUGCUGAAUAUGACAGAUAAAGAGAGAUCCAAAAGGUGGAAGGUCCAGGCUGGGUUCUCAGCUCCUGGAAGCAGCACCAUGGCUAUAUUGGAGUCAGUGCAUCAGUGUGGAUUUCUCCCUGCCAGGGCCUGGCCAUCCACAGGCACUGAAAUGUGUCCCAGGGCUUGUUCUGCCAAAGCCAUUUUGCAGCUCUCCCAGCACAGGACAAACUGUGCAAUGUUCUGCAGAACUGACUAAGUGCAAGGAAGUCCUCAGGCUGCGCCCCAGCACCGAGCUGAUCAAUGUUCAGGUCCUGAAGAGCAGCAAGUGCAGCACUUGUUUCAAUAUUGUUUUCCCCAAGAGCAAACCUAAUGUUUCUACCUGCCCUUGAAUCACUUCUGGUUCACAGCAACCUGUGUCAAGAACACUACCACCAUAAUACACAACCCCAGGGAGCACUGAUAUUAUGUAAACUGCAGCAUAAUACUUAACAUAUUAAAUUCAAUUUUUCAGUUUAGCUAUUCUCUGCCUGUUUUAGUUGGCUUUAAACUAGACAAAUUUCCAGUGCCAAAUGCAGCAGUUGGAACUGACCACCUACAGCACAAGAUUAAGGAAAUGAAAAAAUGCUGUGUGUUUGUUCUGAAGCUAAAACCUCCUUCUCUUCAGCGAAGGAACUUCAUUGAUUAUAAGCCACACAGCUUUAAAUUAAAUAAAAUCGAAAUAUAAUGAGCUAUUGUAGAGUGAAGGAUAGUUUAUGUAAGGUUUUCAAUCUCAUAAACUCUAAGGGAGGUCACUCUUCUGCUAACAGAAUUUUCCAGGCUUCUCUACAAAGGAUAAAUUUAUCUGUAAACCUGGAAAUUUUAUUAUAAAGCCAGUACA